AUUAUCGAAUAAAACUUGAACAGGUUGUUGCUGGCUCCCCUCGAUGAGGGGCAUGUGCACGCUUGUCAUUUUUAUCUCAUUUCUCCUCUGUGCACCAGCUGUAGGUCUGGAGUGUUUGAAAUAUCGAUUGAGGACUGCUGUGCUUUUGAAAGUCGGCUUUGCCUUGCAUCUCCAGGUCUAUGUUUACAAUCUCUCAAUGUGUUUGGAAUGUCAAAUUGUGAAAAAAUAUAUGUAUAACAUACAACUUUCAGCAACGGAUCUCUUGGCUCUCGCAUCGAUGAAGAACGCAGCGAAAUGCGAUAAGUAAUGUGAAUUGCAGAAUUCAGUGAAUCAUCGAAUCUUUGAACGCAUCUUGCGCUCCUUGGUAUUCUGAGGAGCAUGCCUGUUUGAGUGUCAUCAAGUUCUCAACCGCAUUGAUUUGCUUUGAUGUGGAUUGGACAUGGGGGUUUGCAGGCCCCUUUCAAAGGGUUCUGCUUCUCUGAAAUAGAUUAGUGGUAAUCUGAGCAGAGAGACUACUACGGGUGUGAUAACUAUCUAUGCCUUUUUG
rnacentral:rRNA from 1 species